GCCUCCACCUCUAGCUCCGAUGUCAGUUCCCUGACAUUCUCUUUCCAUGGUUCAUUUUGCAUAUCAUAAAUCCCUGCAUAUUUUACACAAAUAUACCAUUCAGUAUUCCAUUAUUACAUCCAUCAAAACUUAUUUACACUGUUGAAUUUAUCUUAACGCUGCCAGCGUUUUCAGCUGUGCACAGUUAUUUCCCAUGUACUGUGUUCAAUAAAUGUUUUCCAAUCCUCUCU